rnacentral:piRNA from 1 species
UCCCAUUGUCGACCCCCCCCCC